UGGAUAUAGUUCCCUGUGCUGUACAGUAGUACCUUAUCCAUUAAAUGUAAUAAUUUGCAUCUACCAACCUCAAACUCCCAGUCCAUCCCACUCCCUCCCCCCAACCCCUUGGCAACCACAAGUCUGUUCUCCAUGUCUAUGAGUCUAUUUCUGUUUUGUAUAUAGGUUCAUUUGUGCCAUAUUUUAGAUUCCACGUAUUAGUGAUAGUAUGUGAUAUUUGUCUUUCUCUUUCUGACUUAUUUCACUUUGUACGAGAAUCUCUAUUUGCAUCCAUGUUGCUGCAGAUGCCAUGAUUUCUUCCUUUUUUAUGGCUGAGUAGUAUUCCGUUGUAUACAUGUACUACGUCUUCUUAGUCCGUUCAUCUGUUGAUGGCAUUUAUGUUUUUUCCAUGUCUUAGCUAUUGUGAAUUGGGCUGCUAUGAACAUAGAAGUGCAUGUAUCUUUUUUUCCAAAAUGAUUAUUUAAUGGCUUCAUGUUAAUUACACUAAGUUGCAUUAAAUUUAAGUAAUAUUAAAAUUAAUUACCAAUGAACUCUUUUAUUCUUUCUUUUUUCUUUCUGAGUCUUCCAAGUCCAGCAUAUUUUACACUGCCAGCACUUCUCAAUUCAGACUAACCAUAGUUCCAAUGCUCAAUGGCCACAUGUUGUUAGCGGCUACUGAGCUGGAUGGUACAGCUCUAGAUAACUGCACAAAUAUUGUAUCCUGACUCUGUGUUGACUGUUCAGCUGCAUGGAGAAUAUUAGAUGCUUUAUGACAGAAGCUAAAGAAAAAAAGUGUGGGAAAACAUUUUAUAUUACUGUGGGGUCUGUCCUUGAAAUCUGAUUUUAAUGCGUAAUUAAACUUAGACCCAGAAUGUUUUAUUAGCCCUCUAGCAACAAAAACAAACAACUUCAAAUUACCAUUGCUUACUCUUAUUUGUUCUCUUCCCCUCUCCCCUCCCCCAUUUUUUUUUUCCCUAAAAGUAGCUGGGACUGAAAAGAGUGAGGUAAACGAUGGAACAGCAUGCCCUAAACCCACAUCCUGCAAAAUGUGAUAAGUUGCCCUAGGCAACAGUGGUUGUCAACUUUUUUUUUUUUUUCUUUUUAGCUUCCACCUGCUAGUUCACAAACACAACAUACCUUCAUCAACAGCAACUGUCUUUGCCAGUGAUUCUCAACUGCAGAAAUAAACCUCCCUUUCAGGGCAGAGAGAGAGUGAUACAUUUGGAUUGUGGAGUUGGAGGUGCCAUGGGUGUGGUUUGAAAAAGCCUCAGGGAGCUUCUGAUGCAGUUUCUCUCUUGUUCAGAAUGGUUAAGAAUCUCUGUCCCAGACCCGCUACUUCCAUAUGUCCUUCCUAGUGACUUAGUCUUUUAAAAAUAUGCCUGGACCAUGAAAAAAAAAAUGGCAGACAAAAGUAACCAUCAGUUACUUGGGACUUGGGAACAUGCGUGGUGAUAUGUGAAUAAGUGACUGAUGUUCGUUUCCACUGGUGGUUUUAGAAGGAGAAUAGAGUAAUAAAAAUCAUGAUGAUAAUGGUGAUAACAAUAUCAGCUGAUAUUAGUACCACUAAUAUCACUUUAUAUGUGCCAGAUGCUAUAGUAAGCACUUUAUAGACAUCUUCUCAUCCCUGUGACAUAGGGACUGUUUUCACUGCUGUUUUAUGAAUGAGGAAACUAAAUCAACAGAGAGGUUAAAUCACUUGCCAGGAUCACCCAGCAGUUGAGUAUAUUUACUGGGUACACAGUGUGUGUCACAUUCUUGGGUGAAAAUGCAAGAGUCCAUGCCUCAAGUCAGUGUGAUGUGAAAGACAGACAUGAAGUCAAUUGUAUUAGAGCUGGAAAUAUGGAUACUGUAAGAGCAGCAUUAGCAAAGGAGCUGCCAUAUUCCACCUCUUAAUAGUCAUAGUCUAUGUCUUCAGAAGACCACGUUUGGGGUUUUGGGGUUUUUUUGCGUGUGUGUCUUUUUAGGACCGCAUCCCUGGCAUGUGAAGUCCCCAGGCUAGAGGUCAAAUCGGAGCUGUAGCCAGCUGACCUAUGCCACAGCCACAGCAACCUCCGAUUGGACCCCUAGCCUGGGAACGGCCCAAUAAAUAGCAAAAAGACAAAAAAAAAAAAAGGCAAAAAAAAUUUUUUUUCACAGAUUUCAAAUAAAAAUCAGUGGCCCAAUAAAUAGCAAAAAGACAAAAAAAAAAAUCAAAAAAAAUUUUUCACUGAUUUCAAAUAGACUGUACAAGGCCAGUUAAGUUGGCCCAAGAGAUGUCCUCUGGUUCUCUGUUGAGUAUUGUUUGAUAAUGUGUGUAAUUUUAGAGAUGCUUCUGUUUCCUGUUUUACAUUACCCAGAAGUUUUAGCUUCCCCCCUCCCCCAAACAUUGCAAGAACCUUUAACCAUGUGCUGCGUUGCUCCGUGAACCACUUCCUCUUGAGGAGUGCUUUCAUUGCAUUUUGAAAAAAAACACCACACUGAAGGAAUUAGGUAAAAGUCAAUAUUGUCCGUUAUUUUCCAGUUGUACUGCACACUAGCUAUUCCAUGGUGUCCACCAGCAUUUGUGAUCAUCUGGAUUCUGCACUGCAUAUUCCACACUAAGAGUGAUUCCUAUCACCAACAGACCUGUUUUAAAUUAGAUCCUCUUUUGUAUUUGUAAUGUGUGGGCUGAUAUUUUUCCUUGAAAAAAUGAACAUAGCCGCCUAUUUUUUAAGUUUAAAAGUAAUAAAAAAAAAACCAAAGUGAAUUGAUACUGACAAAGCCUCAAGUUUUUCAACCUUCUUUCUCAUGAAUUCUAGUUAUAUUGUCGCUCUGGCAAUCUAGCUAUGGACUCAGAAAUCCACUCAUUUGCACUAAUACAUGAAAAUGUUACAGCGUGGAUGAAACUUGAGGACAGGUAUUUCGUUCCACUUACACGAGAUAACAUUAGAGUGGCCACAUUCAUGAAGGCAGAAAGUGGGAUGGUGGAUCCCCCAGGGUCAGGGGCUUAAUGAGGAUGGGGAAUUAUUACUGAAUGGGUAUGAAGUUUCAUUUGGGGAAGAUGAAAAAGUUUGGGAAAUAAGUGGUAGUAAUGGUUGCACAACAACGUACACUGAAAAAUUACUAGAAUGGUAAAUUUUGCGUUACGUAUAUUCCACUUCAUUUUUUUUUUUUUUUUUCUUUUUGACUGUGCCUGAGGCAUGUGGAAGUUCCCAGGCCAGGGGUCAAACAUGCACUGCAGCCAGAGAACUUCUCUACUUCAUUUUUUUUUUAAUUUACCAAAAAUACAUGGGGAGUGAAAAAAAUAACAUUUCAAUGCAAGGAGGCAAACACUGUUCCUCUUCUUCAACAUGGAAAGAUGUACUAUAUGUGUAGAUGACAUCUAGGGGUGUAAUCCUGACACACUGAUGAAGAGAAACACAGGAGUGGAAGACCGACUGAGGAAAAUCUUCCAGAAGUUGGUUUGAGCCUAGAACGGUGUCUGGGAUCAACAAAUAUUUGUGGGCCGACUUAGAUUGUGUAACCUCAGGCAAGCAAGUUAAUCUCUGGGUGCCUUCGUUUCCUCAUCUGUAAAGCAGGGCAACAUGUCC
rnacentral:lncRNA from 1 species